rnacentral:misc_RNA from 1 species
UGAGGAUGGCGAGACGCGCGCGGUGGAGAAGCAGGGCACGUGCAUUCCUAGAGCUUCCGUCCAGCUCCCCGGCGGGCUAGCUAGCUCACUCCGCCGCCGCCGCCGCCGCCGCCGGCGCGCGCACGGCUGGCUGGCUCCGGCCGGCUGAGAUGCAUGCACGGAUGCAUGUGCCCUUCUUCUCCACCGUGCACGCCUCGCCUGCAGCAAGGA